CAGGGAGACAACAAAAUGUUUAAUAUUAUUAUUUUGUCACCUUAGGUCGAUCGGUAUCUCACGUUCUUAAUUUUUUAAGAAUUUCAUUUCCUAAGUUUUUCUAGGUCACACCCAUUAUUUUUCCUGGGCCAUUAGCUCAGGUGGUUAGAGCGCACCCCUGAUAAGGGUGAGGUCCCUGGUUCAAGUCCAGGAUGGCCCAUAUCUCUAUGUUGGGGGUAUAGCUCAGUUGGUAGAGCGCCUGCUUUGCAAGCAGGAUGUCAGCGGUUCGAGUCCGCCUACCUCCACUGAUUACCACCUCUUCCAUAACCGGUAGAAAGGAAAUGUUUUGCGUAGUGAUCAUUAUUCUGAACGAACCUAGCUUCCUAAUGAAAUCAUUAAGAUGCUGGAUUCAUUGAAUUAAUUUCAUUGUUUUCAGAGAACCUUGACAACUGCAUAGAUUAUUUUUAAAGACAAUAAGCAUCUUUAAUGAUGCAGAUUUAUUAUUUGUGCGAAUGCAUUAAUAACAAUUCUAUUAAGCUGAUGCUUCAAUUUUUGAAGUUAUU
rnacentral:tRNA from 1 species